GAUGAAGAACGUAGCGAAAUGCGAUACUUGGUGUGAAUUGCAGAAUCCCGUGAACCAUCGAGUCUUUGAACGCAAGUUGCGCCCGAAGCCAUCAGGUUGAGGGCACGUCUGCCUGGGCGUCACAUAUCGUUGCCCAAUGCCUAUUGCAGUGCAAUAGGAAUUUCUAGGGCGAAUGAUGGCUUCCCGUGAGCGUUGUUGCCUCGCGGUUGGUUGAAAAUCGAGUCCUUGGUAGGGUGUGCGAUGGUAGAUGGUGGUCGAGUUAGAACGAUACCGAUCAUGUGCAUGCUCCCCAAAAUAUGGCCUCUAUGACCCACACGCGUCUUUUGACGCUCAUGACGAGACCUCAGGUCAGGCGGGGCUACCCGCUGAAUUUAAGCAUAUCAAUAAGCGGAGGA
rnacentral:misc_RNA from 1 species